GAUGAACGCUGGCGGCGUGCCUAAUACAUGCAAGUCGAGCGAACGGACGAGAAGCUUGCUUCUCUGAUGUUAGCGGCGGACGGGUGAGUAACACGUGGAUAACCUACCUAUAAGACUGGGAUAACUUCGGGAAACCGGAGCUAAUACCGGAUAAUAUUUUGAACCGCAUGGUUCAAAAGUGAAAGGCGGUCUUGCUGUCACUUAUAGAUGGAUCCGCGCUGCAUUAGCUAGUUGGUAAGGUAACGGCUUACCAAGGCAACGAUGCAUAGCCGACCUGAGAGGGUGAUCGGCCACACUGGAACUGAGACACGGUCCAGACUCCUACGGGAGGCAGCAGUAGGGAAUCUUCCGCAAUGGGCGAAAGCCUGACGGAGCAACGCCGCGUGAGUGAUAAAGGUCUUCGGAUCGUAAAACUCUGUUAUUAGGGAAGAACAUAUGUGUAAGUAACUGUGCACAUCUUGACGGUACCUAAUCAGAAAGCCACGGCUAACUAC
rnacentral:rRNA from 1 species